CUUAGAGUUACUAUUGCUGUGAUGAAAUACCAUAACCAAAGCAACUUGGGGAGGAAAGGGUUUAUUUGGCUUACACAUCCAUCUUACUGUUCAUCAUCCAAGGAAGUCAGGACAGGACCGUGAAGGCAGGAUCUGGCUUGCUGGUUUGCUCUUAAUGGCUUGAUCAUCCUGCUUUCUUACAGAGCCCAGACCACUAGUCCAGGGAUGGCCGCACCCACAAUGGGCUGGGUCCUCCCCCAUCAGUCACCAGUUUCUUAAAAAGUGCUGGACAGGCCUGCUUGUCUAACAGCUCAGUCUUCUGGACACAUUUUUCUCACUUGGGGUUCUCUCCUCUCAGAAUACUGUCCCUGUGUCAAGUUGACACAAAACUAUCCAGCACAGAGGGUUCACUGAGAUUCCCGGCACAAGCUGAGAUGCUUUUGAAACCAGGAUCUGUCCUGAGCAGAGAACGGGAAGAGACAGAGUGGCUGUUGACAAGGACCGCCCGUAUGAAAAUGAACUGUUUUGGUUUUGAGAGAAGGUCCUGUUCUGUAGCCCAGACCGGUCUUGAACUUGUUGUAUAGGCUAAACUGACUUUGGAUUGGUGGUGGUCUUCUUGCCAUCCUCCAACUGCUGACAUUCCAAGCAAGUGUUCCCAUCAUCUGCCAUGCCAGAUAAAAUCCCCUGUGCAGUGCUGGGAUCACUCCAGGACGAGAAGAAGAUGGAGCAGGUUGUGCCUGGGGCUGGAUUCUAAGCACUGACUAGGGAAGAUUGUAAGGAACCUAAAGUGGAUAAGGGAGGACUGCAGUAAGGGACUUGUCACCUGUGUAUAUUUAAUCAUUUUGCCCUGGCUCAGCAAGUCAUCCCUCCGUCCCCAUCCGAUCCUCUGGUUUGGGGCAUUGCCUUAUGAAGGUGUACGGUUUCACGCAUCACAACUCUCCUCCAUGACAAUAAAUGCUUUAAAACAUGGACUGCCUCUUCUCAUCAGGAUCCGCAGGGCUGGAGCAAUGGAGCAGGUCUUCCUCUAAAGAGCUGUGUCUAAUCUCACACAGGACGACUCCUUGUGCUCUCAGCCACAGUUUCCAUCGAGUCAAGCUGUCUGCCCAAGCAAGCCAAAGACUCUCGUCCCCGUGGGACACAGCCCGACGCCCACAGGGUGCGCAGUCAAAACUUCCUGCAACCCGCCUCACCUAGUAGCCCAAGCCCUGGGCCAGACGCAGGACACCAUUUUAACCCACUGGUAUGUAUGCAUGUGAGUUCUGGUAGAAGCCAGAAUGUCAUUCCUCAAGCGCACCUUGGUUUUAAGACUGGGCCUCUCACAUAACGUAAUGGAUGGCAGGUCCAUUUUCUUGCUCCAACUAUGAUUCUGAAACAUUUUGCAGUAUGAAGGAGUUGGGGUGUGUGUGUGUGUGUGUGUGUGUGUGUGUGUGACCAGUUUCCCAGCCUCAGCACUAUCGACAUUCUGAACUGUACCUUCCCUAGGCAGGUAUUCCCGGCUUGUUUAAGGGCAAACUAAACAAGCCUUGGGGAUUGAGUCUGUAAUCUGCAUAAUCUGCAUCCUAUGGUCUCUGCCUUGGCUCCUGAGCCCAUGCUUGCUCAUGCUUUGAGCUCCUGCCCUGACUUCCCUUCACGAAGAGCUCUCCAAGUUGUUUUAGCUCACAGUGUUUAUACCGGCCACAGAAAGCAAGCUAGGACAAUUGUUCUCCACUUUAUUCCCUCGGGGUGGGAUCUGCCACUGACCGUGGGGUAGGCUAGUGUCCAUCCUCAGCGGGCAGCAGACACCCUCCUGUCUCACACAGUGCUGGGGUUAGAGGUGCAGCCUGCUCACUUUGUUCCUCCGCCCCCCCAGGCUGUGGCUUAAGCUCAGGUCCCACGCUUGUUCAGUCUUUCCCACCAAACCAUCUUUUCAGCCCACAUAAAAAUUUUCCAUGUUUUAUUUUAGCAAAAUCGCUCAUUGUAUUGGCAUGUAAUGAAGAUAUUCAUAUUAUUUAUCAGUGUGUGGAGGUAUAUACCUUUAAUCUUAGCAUUCAUAAGGCACAGUCAACGUGGAUUUCAAGGCUAGCCUCAUUUAUAUAGCAAGUUCCAACCAGAAUGAGGCCUGGGAGAUGGGGCGGCGGGGAGGGGGUUGUGGGGGAGAAUAUCAUUAUCUUCUAUUAUAAAAUGAUCUGAAUUUUAAAAAAUAUAUUAUCAUAAAUUAUAAAUUGAGCUGAAUGUAAAC
rnacentral:lncRNA from 1 species